AGAUUGAACGCUGGCGGCAGGCCUAACACAUGCAAGUCGAGCGGCAGCACGGGUACUUGUACCUGGUGGCGAGCGGCGGACGGGUGAGUAAUGCCUAGGAAUCUGCCUGGUAGUGGGGGAUAACGCUCGGAAACGGACGCUAAUACCGCAUACGUCCUACGGGAGAAAGCAGGGGACCUUCGGGCCUUGCGCUAUCAGAUGAGCCUAGGUCGGAUUAGCUAGUUGGUGGGGUAAUGGCUCACCAAGGCGACGAUCCGUAACUGGUCUGAGAGGAUGAUCGGUCACACUGGAACUGAGACACGGUCCAGACUCGUACGGGAGCAGCA
rnacentral:rRNA from 1 species